GUAGGUGAACCUGCGGAAGGAUCAUUAUCGUGGGGCUUCGGCCCCAACGAGAUAGAACCCUUGCCUUUUGAGUACCGUCCGUUUCCUCGGCAGGCCCGCCUGCCAAUGGGGACCCCCAAUAAACUCUUUACAUCACCUGUAUCAGUCUGAAAAAUAAACAAAAGUUAAAACUUUCAACAACGGAUCUCUUGGUUCUG
rnacentral:misc_RNA from 1 species